UUAGCACCCAAGCAGGACCUGCUGAACCUGGGGCCCUAUAGGAGAGCACUGAUGGCCCACCCCUGAUUGUGGCCCUGGUCUUCAUGUCUGCAUCAGCCUCAGCCAUCUCAAGACCACAACAGGAACAUAGCCAAGUCAGAGAAGGAAGACCAAAAGCACCAGGGCCCUUCAUAUUAUUAAGCUGCUAAAUUAACUAAUCUUGGAAACUUCUAGACUCUACAAUUCUUGUUGUAUGAGAACUUCUAGCAACUAACCCUGGCAUGACCACCAGAAUCUGCAGGGCUGAGAGAAGAAAGAAAGGCAAAAGUGGAUGAAUGCAGCUGAAGAUGCUGUGGAACUCCUAUCACAUUCCAAGUGCUGUGUUGAUAUCUGGAGAUAUAGACAAGAUCGAAGCAGAUGCAGUCUUUCACAUGAAUAUUUGAAUCAGGCACAGGAUGCAGGUGAUGGGUAUUGGCCUCAGCUUUAGAGACCAGAGGUUAAAUCUCAGUGCUGCCUGCCACAAAACGAUCCAUGUAAGUCAAUAAACAAUGCUUUUUAAAAUAUUAUUAUAAAGAUAUAGUGUGUGGAUCCCUCUCAAUUGUCCAUUCUUCCCUGUCACAAAAAUUUGCCUGCUUUUCGUUACCAUGUGAGAGGCAAAUGAAUUGAACUAAAUGGUUUCUAAUGCCCUGUCCACCUCUAAAAUUCUAUAGAACUGUGAUUUGAUUCCAAUGGGCCAUAUCAGGACUCGGCAUUAUUUUCAUCAGUGAACCAUUUCAUUAGAAAUUUAUUUUUCCAAAUGAUAUUAGUAAAUAUUGAAGGAGGCUUCUCCCACAGAGCUUCUUGUACAAAUUAAAACAGGGCAGUAGAAGGUUUUCAGGUUGG
rnacentral:lncRNA from 1 species